GAAUACUGGAACACUUGAGAAAUGAACAGGUAACUUUGAAUAGAUAAAUGACAAAAUUAGCAGAAUGGCAAAAAUCCAUUUUUUCAUAGUUUUAAAACUGAUGUUUGUUCUACAAACGUCGUCCAAAGAUUGCACAGCUCAAUCGUGCUUAACAAGUCUGUACAAUUCCAAAGUUAUCUUUGCUGAUUACUACGUAAGACCAUUAGGUGUAUCCGGAAGUUCGGGCAGUUUGGGAAUAUCUAGUGGAGGGGGCGGAUCGAUUUUGGGGAG